AUGAGAAAAAUGGCUGUGAGUUUUGAAAUGUCUUUGAGAAUUUCUUGGAUUUGUUGCCUGCUAAUUGGAGGGAUAACCUGUUAUCCUCCACCUAAAGGUAAUUAUAGAUAUAUUCCCCAAAAUCAAUUAAAAGGAACUGGCCACAAUGCAGGUGAAGCUACCGGCUCCCGUGUCUCGGCAGGUGAAGCAGCCACCCAUAAUGCCUCUGCAAGCGUCACGACUGGCCCAAAUACAUUAGCUGAAGCAACUGGCCACAAUGCUUCAUCAAGCGCCACGACUGGCCACAAUGNNNNNNNNNNAAGGUCCAUACAGAAACAGUUUGGUGUGGAAGAA
rnacentral:lncRNA from 13 species